rnacentral:lncRNA from 1 species
UUAAAAGUCACUUAACCUUUAACUUCACAUAUUAAUAAUAUGAUUAUUAAUUAUUAAUAAAAGUAGGAAUUAAUUCUUGUUAAUAAGAUGUUAGCUAUUUGUUUGCAAUGUAUUAACUUGGACAUUGUUAUUAAAAUUUUAUUUAUUAAUAUAAAGUUUGAGUUGUUUAGUUCAAAGUUCUAAAAUAUUUCUUUAAAAAAUGAUUUUUUUUUAUUACUAUUAUUAUUAUUAUUAUUUAGAUAUUCUUUAAAAAUUUAUUUCACGAUCUUCAUUAUUAUUUCAAGGGAAGUAGAAAUUAUAGAGUUUAGUAUUAAAAGUUUUGAGGCCUCAAAAUUUUGGGGGUCUAAAGCAACGGCUUUACUAGCUUUACUCUUGAGCCACCCUUACUAUAAAUUGAUUUCUGAUUAUAAAAUAAAUAUAUAAAAUAAAUACUAAAUUUCCUUAACUUUUGAUGUGUUUAUCUUUUAUAUUUUAUAUUCUGUCGAUAAAAUUAUUGACUCUACCACCUAAUACGAUAGGAUUGUACUAACAAGUCGUAUGAUCGAUUUUACAUGAUUGUCUAUGCUUUAAUUACUCAAGUUGCUUAUGAUAUAUCGUCACAUCCUUAAUUGGUCCACAAAAAAGUAGUUAGGAGGUGAGACAUUGGACAGGUAGCUUGUUAUCUAAAUAAAGAUUUCCUAGGUUGAAUCGUUUAAGCCUCGAACACUAUAUACAAACUAGAAUCAUUAAAUUUAGUGUACAAUUGUAUGUUAAUGAUACCAAAAUGAAUGCGUAUAGAUAGAAAAAUUCUGCCUCGUUGAGUCUAUUUUUUCUACCUGGUGAUAAUGAACUUAUAGCGGACCAUACUACCAUAGGAGAAUAUGGACACACCCAAAGAACACUUAUUGGCCCAAUAGUACAAUCAAUAACUCUUCCCGAGUAUAAGUUUAUAUUUUCACAUCCUAGUAUUUCAGAAGUUAUAUCUUACGCUCUUGAAGAACAUAUAUCUUGUUAGACAUAAGUUCGAUUUCUAAGACAAAAAUUAAAGACAAAUCUAUUUGUAAACCAAAAAUUAAAGACCAGUUCAUUUGAAGGACAAAUCGUGUAAUUAAAUGUGAAUACUCGCCAUUCCUUUUAAAAUUGAUUAGUUCAGCUUAAUUCAACUAAGUUACUGCUUCCGUCUUACUUUUAAACAUUAUAUACGUUGCUAAUCCUAUUUGGUAAUGAAUUAGUAAUGGAUUAUAGAAAAAACUCUACUAGCUUUGAGCUAUUUAAGGGAUUGGUUAAUUUUGAAAUUUAUAGCUAAUUCCAAUAUUUCCUUGCAGUGAGAAUUUACAAUUUUCAUUUACGAGCUCGCGUCAUAAUAUAAUUCAUGCGUGUUAAACUUGUCAAUUUAUCGUAAUUGAUUAGUUAAUGUUAUUAAUCUUACUCAUUGUUAAGAUUUUCGAUGGAAAUGUUGUUAGCUAGGGAACCAAUAGUUUGAAGAAUAUAUAUAUAUAUAGUCCUUUAAUUUCUCAACACAAAUCAUCUGAAAUUUAUUUAAAAUAAUUAGUUGAUGAUUCGAUUGUCAAAAAGGGCGUAACCUAGUGUGUGUUUGGCACCAAGAAAACCGUUUUCUUUUAAUUUAUUUUCUGGAAUUGAAAAGUAAUAAUAAGAAAAAGAUAUUCUCCAAUAGCAUUUUAGGUAAACCUAUGGGUUAAGGUGAAAGUGGCGGAGAUGGAAGCUAUGAGUUAGGACAUGAUAUAUCGAAAGGUGGAAAGAGAAAAUUAGAUAGAUAUUCUAUACUUUUUACGCGAAAAUCAUAUUUCUCAUUUUGAAAGGACGUAUCUCCUACCAAAAAUGUUUUGCAGAAAAUUUUCAUCAAUCAAACCAAAAAAAAGAAAUUACAAAUAUUUUUUGGGGGAAAGUUUUCCCUCCAUAUCAACCACAUCUAGCCCAUUCAAAAUUUUGGCCAAUAAUUGCUAUUGAACUCUCUUUUUAAUUUCAAUAUAUUGUUUUAAUCGAUACAAUUUACUUAUGAGAUUUUGCUCUGACGAUUAAUACAUUCCACUCAAAUUUUAAGGUUUAUAAGUUUGAACUUUGUCAUCGAAGAUUUAAUUCCUAUCGUAAUAUAAUAGGUGAAAUACUCACACUUGAAUAAUUUGAUCCAUUUUACUAAUUAGUAGAUUCAUAUGAUUUAUGAGCAUUUUCAACAAUCAAAACUACGAGCUCUAUCAUUAACCAAUAGUGAAAACAUAAAAAUUCAUACCUAUCUCGCAAGAGAACCUUAGUUCGCACAAUAAUUAUUUCAGAAUAAAAAUAUUUUUUGCACAAUGCAUUCAGAGUAAAAAGGAAACAUUUAAUGCAAACUUUUUAAACAUAUGGACUAUAUAUUCCAUGAUUUCGACACAUCAUUUUAUUCAUCACCUAGCUAUAACUCUCUAUAUAUUUAUUCUAUAAUCGACAGAGAAUAUAACGUGAAUAAGGAACUUAUCAACCCUAAAAAUCAAGGGCUAUAAUAUGUCUUACGAUUCACAUGAAAUUAACUUAUACACAUAUAUAACUAAUUUAAUUGCUUGUAGUUAACUCAUGAGAAGUCUUUUCUUAACAGCCAUACCUCGAGAAAUUUCAUUGCAUGAUACGAAGAACUUCUCCAACUCUUCAUUUCCACUAACCUCAAAAAAUUCGAACCGUGAAAACUUCCUCUUACGAAGCAGUAAUUUCUUCGGUGCUGGUGGAGGGCAGCUUCCAGCUAUCGGAAUCUUGUUUUUCCGACAUGUUGGAGUACGACACAACUCUUGAUGAUCAUCAAUAUUAUGCCUAGAAGUAGUACUAUUUUCUAGUACUAAUACGUUUGUUUCUAAUAUUUCGACUGAAUUAUUACCUCCAUGAUGUCCUUUGGGGAAAAAUUGAUCUAAAAUUUGAGGGUCUGACAUGAAGUUUAAUAAGGGAUUUUUUUGGCAAUGGAAUAUUGGUAUAGAUGAAAAUGAUAAAAGUAGCUAGGUUGUUGAAAAAUAGAUGUAGAUGGAAAAAGAGGGUGUUGAUUCAAUUUUUUGUCCUUUUAUUUUCUUUCUUAUCUUGUUAAGGAAAUUACGUCUUCUUGUUUCUAAUAAAUUAAUAUUCGUUCCGUUUUCCUUCUGUAGUCUGUUUCAUUAAAUAGUGUCCAUUUAUUGUCUAUAUUCACAGUGCUUUCAACUUAAUAGUAUACGACGGGCAGUAUUAUUAUAUAUCUCUAUUUAAUUAUUUGGUAUUCAAAAUUCGUCCAAACACCAUUAGUAA